rnacentral:lncRNA from 1 species
GAUUUUUGUUGCAGUGCUGAUUCUUCAAGCAGAGACCAUUUUUCCAAUUGCUGCAGCAGGUCAUUUUCUCUCAGCUGUAGGUUAUCUGUAUAUGAUAUGGCCAUCUGUUGUUGGACAACUUCCAGUUCCUUUCUACUAUUCUCAAUCUUCUAUGUAAUACCCUUAAAUUCUCUAGUAUUUAGAGAUUUUAAGGCAGGCUUG